UAUGAGAAUGGCCCUUUUAGCUCGAGUGGACUUAGGAGACCUAAAGUUAUCCCGAAAAUUAAACUCAAGAUGAUUGCUCGUAUUUAUUUUUCCGAAAGAGAAAAUUGGUGAUAAUAGUGCACGAUGUCGAGUAAAUUUCUCAUUAUUUUUUUAUUGGAUAAGCCUCUCAAGGUCUUCCUCACUACCUACCACAUAUCCCAUUUAAGAGCAGUUUCUGCUCAUUGGGCAUAACACUAACCCAGUUUAUUUUGGUAUGUCGGAUGGAAUUCUCCAUAACAAGUAUGGCAGGAGGUUACAGGUUCAGAAAGCCAGUGGACUAUGUAUGGGAGAUGCCUCGCAGGGUAGUUGAAGGGAAGUACUUUGUGAAUUGAAACGAAGGCAAUAAUCCAUUAGAAAGAGAACUCGAAUCAUCAUUAUUUUAUACUUGUGCCUAAUCUAGCAAUGACCAAUUUUGGCCAGAAAUAUCUAAUGUGAAUAUCGGCUGUCCUA